rnacentral:lncRNA from 1 species
CAUGAAUUGUAAAUGUAACCAAACAAUGUACACCCAUAAGAGAUUCUAUUACAUUCAUAGAUAGAACUUUUACAUAGGCAAAAAUCUUAAGUUACAUAUGUUAUUGGAUGUAACACCCAAUACUCGAAUCUGGUUUAUCGGGUUGAGUGGAGGGCAUUACAAUACACCAACCUAUACACUCAUUUCGUACGAUGGGCGAAUCACAAACUUCACACCAUAUUGCAGAUUCUAUUUCACAAUCUCUUUGAAGAUAGAAGUUGGAUACAUUUCUUAGAAUGAUAUACAUACAGACACCACUCUUGGCGAAUUCUAAUAUUGGCUCUAGCGACUGUCAGAAUGCCAGCUACACCGUAUCUUUAAGUCAAUCCAGACAACAAACCUAUUCCGAUGAAAGCAAUAUUUUAGAUCAUCCAAUAGAAUCCUAUGUGACUUCAAUUCAUAAUGUGAGAAUUCCCAGGUUUGGUGGACACUUACACCACCCAUAAUUCUGGAUAUGCCAAGCUUUCUAUCUCGACAGAUAAGUAUGGCAGAUUCAUCAGUCGUGUACACUACCGAGGAUCCUUUCAGAAAAUGCCUCAAAAGAAUACCUAAAUAUCGCCACAAAGGUGAACUAACAACUCGCCACUUAAGCAUUACAGAAUUUGCCUUACAGGCUUUCCAGAUAACUCCGUCACUAAGAGUCGAGUCUAGAGACUCACUAGAGACCCACCUUUAGCUUGGCCAGGAGCUUCUGUUUUGAUCGUCCUUCCCAAUCUAGUAGCAGCAACUGCUUAAAAGAAUUAUGAAAUUUCCAUUAGAAUCCUUAUUUGCAUAUAGUUUACAAACAUUUCAAGUAUAUGUGACCUCCAUGUAGGGCCUUCCACUCAUACCUACUGUUCUUAUGUCUUUUAACAUCUCUACUCUUCAACAAUCGUAACAUGCAAAGCUAUAAGACUUACCAAAAUGUUGAAUCAUCCAUUGAUUAAACAAAAUCUUAACUCUAAUUUAAUGAAGAAGAAGAGAACAUUUAGAUUAGAAAGAAAAAUUAGAACGUAGAACGAAAAGAAAAAACCAUCUAGAAUCCCCCUUCACUAUAUAUAUACUCCCAAUUCGCUUUAGUGGAUUUUGACAACUGGUAAUGCUUAUUGAAAUUUUCCCUUGAUUUUCCUACAAAAUCCGGGGGAAAAUAAAAGAAAAUCCAGCAAAGAUCGACGUUACCAUUUGACCAGUCAUGGGGAGGGUCAAAUCAAUUCAGUUGACUCCCAACUAAUCCUAUUACAAGAACCAACUUGAACAAUGCUCAUGCAAACCAAGCAUACUAUACCUUGGCAGUGACUCAUGUAUGGCGUGAUUUUAAAUAAAAUUAAGUCUCCUACAACUUUCUUAUACACUUGGUAGGCUCUUCAUGCUCAGCCAAAACUCUAGGACGCACUAUUUCUUGGGCGUAUUCUUUCUUCAGUUGAAAAUUCCUUAUAAUUAAAUACUUAUACCCAAUGGACGAAUACUUUAACGCUAGUAUUAAAAUAUAAAUAUUCAAAAUAUUUUAAAAAAUUAAAAAAUAUUUAAAAUAUUAAAAUUGAUCUAAAAUUAUAAAAAUUAUAAAAUAAUAAUUUGUAAAUAUUAUAAAAACAUAAAAAACUAAUAAAAUCUAAAAAUUAUAAAAAAUUAUAAAAUUAAUAAAACAUAUUUAAAAUUUUAUAAAAAUGUAUUAAAAUUCUUAAAAACUUAAAAAUCAUAAAAAAAUAAUUAAAAUAUUAAAAUUGAUAUAAAAUUGUAAAAAUUAUAAAAAAUCAUAAAAACUUAAAUUAGAUCGGAUCAAUCGGUCAGACUGGUUAGGCCAAAAUCGGCAAGGGAACUAGUUCGAAGAAAGCUAUUAGACUGGUUGACUUGAGAAUUGGAUGGUUGAACCAAUUUUUUAUUUUUUUAUUUUUAUUCAAUUAAACUAGUCGAACAAGCAAAUCAGUGGCCUGACUGAUUCAACCACCAGUCUGGUUCUAAAAACUUUGGUCAGAAAAUUUCAUCUGACAUAUGCUAAUAGUUGGAUAAUGAUAUUUUGGUUUGAUAGUAUCUAAUUAUACCAAAAAUAUUUUAUAUCAUACAAUACUUAGCAAACGGUUUCCAACUUUUAAAGUCCAAAUUAUUGUACUGAAGUUAAAAAAUUAGAGAUAAUUUUUUUAAAUAAUAAUAAUUUAUUUAUUUUGACCGAAAAUAAUAAUAGUUUAUUAAUAAAAAGGAGAGGUUCCCAUAAUUAUCAUUUUAUUUUUGGAAUAUAGAAAACAUUUUAUUUAAUAUGAAAAUGACUCUAAUGGCCUUAUUACUAUUCUCAUUAUCCAAUGGUUAGUGCAAUAUCAUAUGUUCAUUAUGAUUUUAGGGGUUUAAAUGAUUUUUUUAAUAUUUAAUAUUUUUUAAUUUAUUAGAAUUUUUAUAUUACUUAUAAGUUUUUUGAAUUUUUACAAGUUUUUAUAAAAUUUUAAAUAUAUAUUAUUAAUUAUAUAUUUAAUAAUUUAUUAAAAUUUAUUAGUUUUUUUAUAAUUUUUUAAAGUUUUUAUGAUUUUUUAUCAUUUCUUUAAAUGUAUGUUAAUUUUAAUAAUUUUAAUAUUUUAUACUUUUAUGAUUUUUAAUAAUUUUUAUAUAUUUUUAUAAAAUUUUAAAUAUUUUAAACAUGUUUUAUUAAUUUUAUAAAAAAAACCAUAAUGACAACAAAUUUCUCCCAAACUUACAAAAAGAUUAAAACAAAUUAUAAGAUUACAAAUUCAUAUGUAAUUAACUAUUUUCUCUAACCUCUCUGCUCCCAAAAGUGCUUUACGUAGAGUCCUAGAGAAAGCAGUAACUGCUACAGCUUGAGAUGGAGGAAAGCAGUGGUGAGGAUAGAGAGGGGAGGGAUGAGAUCUCUCUUCUAGCAGAAGAACUCAUCAAAUUAUCAGUCAAGGGGUCGAUGGUCGUACCGAAUUCUAAACCAACGCUGAUAUGUACAGUUUGGACAGAAAAGCUAUACAACCCAGAGAGUUUUAGGGCAAAAAUGAAAAGUAUAUGGAAGACAAGGAAAAAGUUUGAGAUCUAAAUGGUGGGGCAAAAUUUAUUUCUGAUAGUGUUUGAUUUGGAAGAAGAUCUGGAGACGAUUAUGGAGGGGAGACCUUGGUUUUUUUUGCAAAAGUAUUAUUUUAUUUGAUAAGUUAAUUCAGGCGGUGGAAAGAGAUCAGAUUAGGCUUAAUUCAUCUCCAUUUUGGAUAAAAAUUGAUUCGUAUUUACCAAAAUUCGAUAAGAAGGAUCUCUUGUAUGCAAUUGGUGUUACGUUUGGGGGGGUUCUCAGAUAUGAAAUUAACAAAGUCUGUUGUCGGCUCAGAAUCACCUUGGAUGUUCGAAAACCACUUCGUCGAGGUAUUUUUGUCUCUAGUAAUAAUGUUAAUAAAAUGUGGGUUCCUUUAAGUAUGAGAAUUUACCGAUAUUUUGUUUUGGAUGUGGAAGAAUGGGGCAUGGGAUAAAAGAUUGCACUCAAAUAAUACCUGCAAGGAAAAGCAAAAUCAGUGUUGAUCCACCUUAUACGCUGGCUUUAAAAGCAGAAUCAAAAUUAUCUGGAAAAGAAAGUAUGAAAUUUAAUGCUAUGAUAAAGAAGGUGGGGGUUCAAAUUUCUUACACAGGAGGUAAAGUAGUGCUGGCAGAAAGCUCUAGAACAAUAGAAAAAGAGAAUAACGAGAUUCGGGGUGCACAGGAGAAUAUGGAAUUGAUGGGAGGGGAAGAGAUGAUAAAGGAGCAGAGAUGCAUAUAUGGGAUAGAGGAGGUUGAGAAGUUGAAUGAUAGUACGGUACAAGAGUGUAAAAACGCAAAUCCUGAGAAGACGAGCUGGAAAAAAAAACCAAUGGCCACGAUGAUACAAACAAAGGUUGAGAAUAGUACGAGGAAGUGAAAAUCCCCAGAAAAAGAUCUUGCAAGAAGUGAUAAGGAAGAUAUUGAUGUGGAUGGAACAAAAAGAUUGAAACAGGAUGAUUUUGAGGGUUGCGAAAAAGCCUUAUCAAAGGUGAUGUUAGACAAUUCUUAGCAACUUGAUAUUAAAAAUUUCUUGAGAUCAGCGACUGCCAAGAGGCAAGCCGACCGGACGCAAUGAAAAUUAUAAGUUGGAAUGUUCGUGGAUUGGGAGUCCACGGGCAGUAAGAAGGCUGUGUUUUUUCCUAAAGCAACACAAUCCCCAUAUGACCUUCAUGGAGACAAAGCUAGAUAAGCAACGCAUGGAAAAAGUCAGAAGGAGAUGCAAUUUUAUUAAUGGAAUUGAUAUUAAAGUAGAAGGGUCGCGAGGAUGAUUAUGUUUAGCAUGGAAAGGAGAUAUUGUAAUAAGUUUACAAAGUUUUUCUAGGAACCACAUUGAUGUUAUGGUUAAAGAAGGUAAGGAUGAAGAAGAAUAGAGAUUCACGGGGUUCUAUAUUUCACCUUGUGUUAAUAAUAGGAGCGCUACAUGGAAUCUGCUAAAGAAAUUGAGGCAAGAUAGAAGUCAUCCAUGGUUAGUAAGUGGUGAUUUUAAUGAGAUCAUGUAUUCUUAUAAAAAAUAUGGGGGUGUACCAAGAGAAGAGAGUAGAAUAGAGGCUUUCCGAGAGGUUUUAAAAGAAUGCCAACUAGAAGAUUUGGGGUAUUUGGGGGUUUGGUUUACUUGGGAAAGGGGAAAUUUGUCGGAGACAAAUAUUAGAGAAAUACUUGAUAGGGGAGUCGCAAAUGAUAAAUGGAGGCAGAUAUUUCCAAUAGGUAACAUCAAACAUCUACUACACUCAAUGUCUGAUCAUUGCCCAUUUCUUCUAAACACAAAAUGUGAAAAUUCUUAUAAGGACAAUCCAAAAUUUAAAUUUGAGGCGUGGUAGCUCAUGGAGGAAACAGUUGAGAAAGUAAUUAAAGAAUCUUGGGAAUCAAGAACAGGCACAGUAGUUGAAAAACUUGAAAGAUUACAAGCAAACUUAAAGAUAUGGGCGAGAUCAAUUAAAGAAAGGCGAGAGGGACUAAAGAAAAAGCUUACGAAGCAACUUGAUAUGUUAAUGGCGCAAGAAAGGACUGACAAAACGAUGGCAAAAGUUAUUGACACCAAGAUUAACCUGAAUAUGGAAAUUGAUAAAGACGAAGCUUAUUGGGAACAAAGGGCAAUGGCAAAUUGGCUUAAAGCAGGGGAUAAGAAUUCAGCUUUUUUCCAUAGGUUUGCCACAUAUCGAAGACACAUUAAUACAAUAUCAAAGUUGGAACUAAAUGGAGGAGGAGAGGCUAAUGAAGUGAGAUUAAUGAAGCUGCUACUAUGUACUUUCAGAAGCUAUUCAUGUCAAAUGGAGUCGGAGAUCCUUCUUAUCUCCUAACGGGCAUUGAUAAUAACAUCCCGACAGAUAUUAAUAGAAAUUUAAUGUUAAACUAUACAACAGAAGAAGUCUAUGAUGCAUUGAAAGGAAUGGGACCUACUAAAGCACUAGGACAUGAUGGUUUUCUAGCAAUCUUCUUUCAAAAAUAUUGGCACAUUGUAAGUAAGUAAAUUGCUAACUUUUGUUUAGGAAUAUUAAAUAAUGGUGAGAGUUUUGGUCCUUUCAACCAAACAGAGAUCGUGUUGAUUCCAAAAAUCCCUAAUCCCACAAGCCUAGCUAACUUUAGACCCAUUAGCUUGUGUUUGGUUAUUUAUAAAAUGGUGGCAAAAACAAUUGUAAAUCGACUAUAAGUAGGUAUUAGGAGAUGUAUUGAUGUGGGUCAAAGUGCUUUCGUCCCGAGAAGUUUAAUUUCUGACAAUGUGCUUUUAACUUAUGAGGUUUUGCAUACUUUUUGACAAAAAGGCAGAGGAAAAAAAAGAUAUAUGGCAGUAAAUCUUGACUUGAGUAAAGCCUAUGAUAGGGUUGAAUGGGGCUAUAUAAAAAAAGUUAUGUUAAGAAUGGGUUUUGCAAAAGACUGGGUGGAGUUGGUUAUAAAAUGUAUCUCCACAAAGUCUUAUGUAGUUCAUACAAAUGGAGGAAGUGGACAAAGCUUUAAAUUGGCAAGAGGCUUGAGACAGGGAGAUCCUCUAAGUCCUUUUUUAUUUUUAAUGUGUAACGAGGGAUUAUCAUCUUUGAUGAGAUUGACAUUGAAGGGAUGAUUGUUAAGAGGUGCAAAGACGAGUAGAAGAGGCCCAGAAAUUUCACAUUUACUUUUUACAGAUGACUGUAUUCUGUUUGGGGAAGCAUCAGAUAGGGGGUAAUGGUGCUAAAAGGAAUUCUGAAGACGUAUGAAAAGUGUUCUGGCCAAUGUGUAAAUUUUAAUAAAUCUACAAUCUUUUUCAGCACAAACACUACAGAAGGAAAAAAGGAAAAAUUCUUGGCAAUCUUAAGGGUAAGGACCUCAACAAAUAUGGAGAGAUAUUUAGGUCUCCCGAAUGUGCUUGGUAGACGGAAAAAAGAAUCCUUUCAGCAUCUCAAAGAGAAGAUUUAUACCAGAAUUGAAGGAUGGAGUACCAGAAUGUUAUCUCAAAGAAGUAAGGAAGUAUUUUUAAAGUCGGUACUCCAGGCUAUUCCAACCUAUGCUAUGUCUUGUUUCUUGCUACCAAAGUCAUUUUGUAAAUAUAUAGAAAGCAUAUUUGCUAAAUUCUGGUGGCAAAAAGGGCACGGGAAAAGAGAAAUUCAUUAGUGUCAAUGGAAAUAUUUGUGUCGGUCAAAAGAAGAAGGUGGUUUGGGUUUUAGAAACAUGGCUCAAUUUAAUGUCUCAUUACUAUCCAAAUAGGGGUGAAGAAUUUUGAACAAUCCAAAUUCUUUAAUAGCUCAAGUUUUAAAAGUAAAAUAUUACCUGAAUGUUAAUUUCUUGAAUUCACGAUUGGGGAACAAUGCUUCGUAUACAUGGAAAAGCAUUUGGGCUACAAAGGGCAUUUUAGAGGAAGGUUUGUGUUGGAAGGUGGGCAGGGGUACGCAUAUUUCAGUUAGUAAUGAUUUUUGGAUCCCAAAUGUGAAAAAGAACAGGUUAUCAGCUUUAAUUACGAAUUUCAAUGAUUUUAAAGUUUCCAAAUUAAUUGAUCAAAGUAAUAGAACAUGGAAGAAAGAGUUGAUAGCUUCUACCUUUCCGGAGGAUGUUGCUGAGAAGAUUAUUUGCAUUCCGUUGGCAGAAGAACCUCAUGAAGAUUUUUGGGUCUGGAGUGCUGAGGCGUCGGAAAAUGAUCCUAGAGCUUACUCUUUACAAGCUGACUAUAAGGAGUUCUACAAAAAAUUAUGGCUUCUGAACCUUCCUUCAAAAAUAAAAAUUACAAUCUGGAAGAUAUCAUGGAAUUUCCUAUCUACGCGAGUUAAUAUGCUACUAAUAAAGUUAACAAACACAACAGUAUGCCCCCGUUGUAGAGUAGGAACAGAGAACAUGGACCAUCUUUUCCGUAAAUGUCCUGUUUCAAUUUAAGUUUGGAGAGAGUUAUCAUGCCAAACAUUUUUGCAAGAAAAUCAGUUGGAGUUUGUACAGUGGCUAACCUGGGUAUUUGUGAAGAACUCAGCAUCACAGUGUAGGAUAUUUUGUUGUGCACUAUGGGCAAUCUGGAGAGAUAGGAAUGACAGAGUGCACAAAAAAGUGAGUAAAUGUGGAAAAGUAAUAGAGAGAUUUGUUAAUAGUUAUAUAUCAGAGUUGAAUGAGAUUGGUAAAAACAAACCACAAACUUCUAUAACUAUUAACAAGUGGAGGAAGCCACCUGAUCAGGUCGUGAAGAUUAAUUUUGAUGCAGCAUACGACGAAAAGUUUAAUCUAGCGGCUGUGGGGAUUGUGUCCAGAGAGAGUGAGGGAAAGGUUCUUUUAUCAUGCUCGGAGAUAUAUCAACGGGUUGCAUCAGCCUUUGCAGCUGAGGCACUUGCGUGCCGGAGAGCGACCCAAAUCGGCAUAGACAUGCAUUGGAAAAAAGUCAUUAUUGAAGUAGACUCUUUAUCAAUAAUAAAAAAGUGUAAGACAAGUAUCCCAGAUAAAUCAAAGGUAUGUGCCUACAUUCAUGAUAUUCAUAAGCUACUAUUAAAAUAUAAGGAGUGCAGAUUUGAAUAUAUCCCAAGAGCAGGAAACAGUCUUGCGCAUACUUUAGCAAAAGAAACGAUGAAUAAUAAAAUAGUAGUUUACCUGGUUGGAGGCGUCCCUGAAUAUGCAGAAGAACAAGAGGAAAGGGAUAGAGUGAGAGAGCCAGAUUGAACAGGAAAGGGAGAAGAUGAAAUGGAGGGAGUCUGAAUGAGGGCUAGUAAUGGAAUGGAUGAAAUUAAAGUCCCCUCGGGAGUGUGAAUGCAUCUUGAUGAAGAAAUGGCAGAUGAAGUGACAAGACGGUGAAGAGUCAUCUUGCUGAUUGGGCAAAAAUUACAGCAACGUUAAUGGGAUUCCAGAGACUUCUGACUCUAUUUUUGUUCUGUUGAUUUUCUAGGCUGAAUUAGGAUUUGGUUUGCUGUUCUUAGUUUUUAUCGUUUCUUUUUUUAUUUUGAUGCCGGGCCAACUCUCAUAUUCGGGCCUUUCUUUU